AUUGAACGCUGGCGGCAGGCCUAACACAUGCAAGUCGAACGGUAACAGGGAUCAGCUUGCUGAUUCGCUGACGAGUGGCGGACGGGUGAGUAAUGUCUGGGAAACUGCCUGAUGGAGGGGGAUAACUACUGGAAACGGUAGCUAAUACCGCAUAACGUCGCAAGACCAAAGAGGGGGACCUUCGGGCCUCUUGCCAUCGGCUGUGCCCAGAUGGGAUUAGCUAGUAGGUGGGGUAACGGCUCACCUAGGCGACGAUCCCUAGCUGGUCUGAGAGGAUGACCAGCCACACUGGAACUGAGACACGGUCCAGACUCCUACGGGAGGCAGCAGUGGGGAAUAUUGCACAAUGGGCGAAAGCCUGAUGCAGCCAUGCCGCGUGUAUGAAGAAGGCCUUCGGGUUGUAAAGUACUUUCAGCGGGGAGGAAGGGAGUAAAGUUAAUACCUUUACUCAUUGACGUUACCCGCAGAAGAAGCACCGGCUAACUCCGUG
rnacentral:rRNA from 1 species